AGAGUUUGAUCAUGGCUCAGAACGUACGCUGGCGGCACGCCUAACACAUGCAAGUCGAACGAAGUAGCAAUACUUAGUGGCAGACGGGUGAGUAACAUGUAGGUAUCUGCCCUUUGGCCUGGAAUAACACGAGGAAACUUGUGCUAAUACCGGAUAAGUCUUUACGGAGAAAGCUUUAUGCACCAUUGGAUGAGCCUACACUUGAUUAGUUUGUUGGUGGGGUAAUGGCCUACCAAGACUGUGAUCAAUAGCUGAUUUGAGAGGAUGAUCAGCCACAUUGGGACUGAGACACGGCCCAAACUCCUACGGGAGGCAGCAGUGGGGAAUCUUGCACAAUGGAGGAAACUCUGAUGCAGCGAUGCCGCGUGAGUGAAGAAGGCCCUUGGGUUGUAAAGCUCUUUCGUCGGGGAAGAAAAUGACUGUACCCGAAUAAGAAGGUCCGGCUAACUUCGUGCCAGCAGCCGCGGUAAUACGAAGGGACCUAGCGUAGUUCGGAAUUACUGGGCUUAAAGAGUUCGUAGGUGGUUGAAAAAGUUGGUGGUGAAAUCCCAGAGCUUAACUCUGGAACUGCCAUCAAAACUUUUCAGCUAGAGUAUGAUAGAGGAAAGCAGAAUUUCUAGUGUAGAGGUGAAAUUCGUAGAUAUUAGAAAGAAUACCAAUUGCGAAGGCAGCUUUCUGGAUCAUUACUGACACUGAGGAACGAAAGCAUGGGUAGCGAAGAGGAUUAGAUACCCUCGUAGUCCAUGCCGUAAACGAUGUGUGUUAGACGUUGGAAAUUUAUUUUCAGUGUCGCAGCGAAAGCGAUAAACACACCGCCUGGGGAGUACGACCGCAAGGUUAAAACUCAAAUGAAUUGACGGGGACCCGCACAAGUAGUGGAGCAUGU
rnacentral:rRNA from 1 species